UACGUAGGGGGCAAGCGUUGUCCGGAUUUAUUGGGCGUAAAGAGCGUGUAGGCGGCCAUGUAGGUCCGUUGUGAAAACUCGAGGCUCAACCUCGAGACGCCGAUGGAAACCAUGUGGCUAGAGUCCGGAAGAGGAGAGUGGAAUUCCUGGUGUAGCGGUGAAAUGCGCAGAUAUCAGGAAGAACACACGUGGCUAAGGCGGCUCUCUAGUACGGUACUGACGCUGAGACGCGAAAGCGUGGGGAGCAAACAGG
rnacentral:rRNA from 1 species